AUUGAACGCUGGCGGCAUGGCUAAAACAUGCAAGUCGAACGAGAAUCCGCCGCAAGGCGGAGGACAGUGGCGGAAGGGUCAGUAAUGGGAUCGAAUGUACCCCGAGGUGGAGGAUAGCGUCGGGAAACUGACGGUAAUACUCCAUGUCCUCUACGGAGAAAAGAUUUAUCGCCUUGGGAGCAGCGAUCCUCCUAUCAGGUAGUUGGCCGGGGUAAAAGCCCACCAAGCCCGAAGACGGGGUAGCGGGUGUGAGAGCACGGCCCGCGACAUCGAGACUGAGACACUGCUCGGACUCCUACGGGAGGCUGCAGUAACGAAUAUUCCGCAAUGCGCGAAAGCGUGACGGAGCAAUGCCGCGUGCAGGAUGAAGCGGUUUUGCCGUGUAAACUGCUGUCA
rnacentral:rRNA from 1 species